AUUGAACGCUGGCGGCAGGCCUAACACAUGCAAGUCGAGCGGCAGCGGGAAAGUAGCUUGCUACUUUUGCCGGCGAGCGGCGGACGGGUGAGUAAUGCCUGGGAAAUUGCCCAGUCGAGGGGAAUAACAGUUGGAAACGACUGCUAAUACCGCAUACGCCCUACGGGGGAAAGCAGGGGACCUUCGGGCCUUGCGCGAUUUGAUAUGCCCAGGUGGGAUUAGCUAGUUGGUGAGGUAAUGGCUCACCAAGGCGACGAUCCCUAGCUGGUCUGAGAGGAUGAUCAGCCACACUGGAACUGAGACACGGUCCAGACUCCUACGGGAGGCAGCAGUGGGGAAUAUUGCACAAUGGGGGCAACCCUGAUCCAGCCAUGCCGCGUGUGUGAAGAAGGCCUUCGGGUUGGUUAAAAGCGAACUUUCCUAGCGAGGAGGAAGGGGU
rnacentral:rRNA from 1 species